GGCACGGCUAUUGCUUUGAUAUAACCAGCAACGAGCCAACGGCGGUUCGUUAAAUAGAUUUAAGACAAAGGUGUCUC
rnacentral:ncRNA from 1 species